GGACACCCAGGUGGGAGAUCUGAGAGUCUGACGCAGGUUGGUGGCUGUGGGUGGCGAGCAGUGGACAGACAGAGGGCCUCCGAAGCAGGACAACCAGGCUCCAUGGGGCCCCUGAUCGGAGCCCUGAGCCCUCACCCGGCCCACCCACUGCCCAUCUCGGGCACUGACCUCUGCAGUGGGACCUCUUCCAGCAGCUCCUCCUCCUCCUCCCUGUGGAAACAGACGAAGCAGAAGGCUGGCACAUCCUCCACUCCACAGCCCAGGGGCCAGGCCGGAGGCAGCUCCAGGACGGGGCAAGGGUGGCUGGUGGUGGCCUCGGCAGCAUCGUCCCUCGCCUGGGCAGGGGUCCCCGAGCCAGUGUGCUCCAGGAUCCUCCGAUGCCACCUCCUGCCUGAUGCCACCUCCUGCCUGCGUCGGUGCAGCGCUCAGCAUAUGGAUCUUGGACAGUGCGCGCUGGCCACCCGAACCUGCCCUGCAUACCUCCAUAGAGCCUGGUAAGACGGGGGCGGGGGUUGGGGGAGGAGGCUCAUGGCAGCGCCCCAGGAGUGGGCAGGGCUCUGAGCUCCAGGGAGUGUCCCUGGGACUCCUUCACUUGCGCAUCCACCCCCGAGUUCCCUCCACAUUCCCUUAACAAACAGCUAUGGUCACCAACUCUGGGUCCAGUUCUGUCAUUUGGUGGGGAGUCCCUGACUCCCACCAAAUGAACCAUGCACAGCCCCUGAGAGAUGCAGAGACGACCAUAUGCAGCCCCUGGUAUAUUCUAUCGAAGAGCGUGAGAAGGGGAUGGGAGUGGGGGAAUGUGAGUCGAAUUUGUUUGCUUGAGGGAGUUCCCUGGUGGCACAGUGGGUUAAGGAUACAGUGUUGUCACGGCUGUGGCACAGUUUUGAUCCGCAGCCUGGGAACUUCUGCAGGCUGCGGGCAUGGCAAAAAAAAAAAGAAAAAAAGAAUGUGUUUGCUUGAAAAUAUUUAUUGAGAGCAGCCUUUUUUUUUUUCUUUGCUUUUUAGGGCUGUACCUGCAGCAUAUGGAAGUUCCCAGGCUAGGGGUGAAAUCCGAGCUGCAGCUGCCAGCCUGUGCCAAAGCCAUGGCAACGUGGGAUCCAAGCCAUCUGCGACCUACACCGCAGCUCAUGGCAGUGCUGGAUCCUUAACCCAUGAGCAAGGCCAGGGAUCAAACCUGCAUCUGCAUGGAUACUAGUAGGGUGUGUAACAUGCUGAGCCACAAUGGGAACUUCCUAUUGAGCACCAGCUUUGUACCAGGCACUGUGCUGGGCACUGGGCACACGACAAUGGAGAAAGGUCAGACACUUCCUACCAGGGCUUGUCUGUCACAGCUAGAGGCCGUUGGGGCUGAAGCUUGUGUAGCUGGUGCCAGUGUGUGAAUUAGGAAAAGGCAUUCCCUCUGGGCAGGUGCAGCACUCCUCCUCUUCCAGCUCCAGCUGGAUCACAGGCUGGGUUUCAGCCGCGCUCACCUCUUCAGCAACUUACAACAAGCACAGCUAUUCAUAGUGGCCUUAGAAUUGGUUGUCUGUGCCAACGAACAAAAUAAAUACAGCCUGUGACGUGGUAUGAAAAAAUAA
ensembl:lncRNA